rnacentral:rRNA from 1 species
UACGUAGGUGGCGAGCGUUGUCCGGAUUUACUGGGCGUAAAGGGAGCGUAGGCGGACUUUUAAGUGAGAUGUGAAAUACUCGGGCUCAACUUGAGUGCUGCAUUUCAAACUGGAAGUCUAGAGUGCAGGAGAGGAGAAUGGAAUUCCUAGUGUAGCGGUGAAAUGCGUAGAUAUUAGGAGGAACACCAGUGGCGAAGGCGGCCUGCUGGACAGAAACUGACGUUGAGGCUCGAAAGCGUGGGGAGCAAACAGG